rnacentral:rRNA from 1 species
AUUGAACGCUGGCGGCAGGCCUCACACCUGCAAGUCGAGCGGAGCGGCGGACGGGUGAGUAAUGCCUAGGAAUCUGCCUGGUAGUGGGGGAUAACGUCCGGAAACGGGCGCUAAUACCGCAUAAUAUCAGAUGAGCCUAGGUCGGAUUAGCUAGUUGGUGGGGUAAAGGCCUACCAAGGCGACGAUCCGUAACUGGUUGUAGAGGAUGCUCAGUCACGCUGGAACUUGGACACGUUCCAGACUCCUACGGGAGGCAGCAGUGGGGAAUAUUGGACAAUGGGCGAAAGCCUGAUCCAGCCAUGCCGCGUGUGUGAAGAAUGUCUUCGGAUUGUAAAGCACUUUAAGUUGGGAGGCGUUACCAACAGAAUAAGCACCGGCUAACUUCGGGCCAGCAGCCGCGGUAAUAC